rnacentral:lncRNA from 1 species
UUCUUGGAUUGAACCUAGAACCUUGUGCAUGCUGACCAAGUGCUCCACCCCUGAGUUACACCCAUCAGUGGCCCAUACUUCAUCUUGUAAAGAGGGAAAAAAUCUAGCAGCUGCCUUCCACGUCACCUCAGCAGCUCAUCACAGGAAAACACCACACAAAAUCCCUCUCCUGGAUGACGCACCACUGCCUUCCUGCCGGCCUCGGCCUUGCCUUGUGUAAGGAAGGGCAUUCCUCUGCUGGAUUUGACACUUGGGAGCAUGAUGGAGUAUGCAAGAUCUCUUGUUCCAGAGAACUCCUAUUGAGGGCUA